AUGGUUAACAAGACCACCAGUUUCAAGAAAAAGGGCAAAGGGAAGAAGAAGGGGAACUUCAAGAAGAACAGCAAACAAGUUGCUGCUCAAGAGAAGAAACCCAAGUCUGGACCUAAGCCUGAGACUGAGUGCUUCUACUGCAAGCAGACUGGACACUGGAAGCGGAACUGCCCCAAGUAUUUGGCGGAUAAGAAGGAUGGCAAAGUGAACAAAGGUAUAUGUGAUACACAUGUUAUUGAUGUGUACCUUACUAAUACUCGCAGUAGUACCUGGGUAUUUGAUACUGGUUCUGUUGCUAACAUUUGCAACUCGAAACAGGGACUACGGAUUAAGCGAAGAUUGGCUAAGGACGAGGUGACGAUGCGCGUGGGAAAUGGUUCCAAAGUCGAUGUGAUCGCGGUCGGCACGCUACCUCUACAUCUACCAUCGGGAUUAGUUUUAGACCUAAAUAAUUGUUAUUUGGUGCCAGCGUUGAGCAUGAACAUUAUAUCUGGAUCUUGUUUGAUGCGAGACGGUUAUUCAUUUAAGUCGGAGAAUAAUGGUUGUUCUAUUUAUAUGAGUAAUAUCUUUUAUGGUCAUGCACCCUUGAAGAGUGGUCUAUUUUUAUUGAAUCUCGAUAGUAGUGAUACACAUAUUCAUAGUGUUGAAACCAAAAGAUGCAGAGUUGAUAAUGAUAGUGCAACUUAUUUGUGGCACUGUCGUUUAGGUCAUAUCGGUGUAAAGCGCAUGAAGAAACUCCAUACUGAUGGGCUUUUGGAAUCACUUGAUUAUGAAUCACUUGGUACUUUUGUGAACCGUGCCUCAUGGGCAAGAUGA
rnacentral:rRNA from 1 species